rnacentral:rRNA from 1 species
UCGAAAGUCCCAAAUGAUCCAAGGGAGCGGAAAGAGAGGGAUUCGAACCCUCGGUACAAAAAAAUUGUACAACGGAUUAGCAAUCCGCCGCUUUAG